UUCUUCCGGAAUUCUUCUUGAAAGAAGUCCCAUGUAACUUUCUCUUUAGGCACCACUGACACUAAAGUUUUCCACCAAUUAUAAGCCGAAUCCCUCAGCAAUGAGAUAACACAUUUGAGACUUUCUUCUGGAGUACAAGAUAAUUCAUCCAACACUCUGAUAGUAUUAUCAAGCCAGAACUCUGCUCUUUCAGGAUCAUCAUUUACAUUAGCUCGG
rnacentral:lncRNA from 1 species